UUUUAAACAAUUAUGUGCAAGAUAUUGUGUUAUGUAAAUCUAGUUAUAUUGAUAUAUACAAAUAUUGUAAAGAAAGAAAUAUAUUAUUUAUUAAUGAUGAGGUUGAUUAUGUGGAUAAAAAUAAAAAAGUUAUAUAUUUUUUAUCUAAUAGGAAUUGUUUAAAUUAUGAUUUUUUGCUUUGCGAUUUUGAUUAUACAAGCAAUUUUUUAAUGAAUAGUGACAUGAACCAUAACAAUAUAUAUACAUUUAAAAAUAAAAAUUUAUUUUUUUAUUAUAUACAUAUUAUAUAUUUAUGUUUAAUUAAAUCACAAAAAAACGGUAACACUGAUAUCGCUUCUUAUGAAAUAUUAAAAAAAUCACUUUUAAAAAAAAUCAAAGUUCAAAGGUUUUUUAAUUUUGUUUCUUACGAUGAUGGAUAUGUGGAUGCGAUAUUUGACAUGUAUAAUAAUGUUGAGGUAGGUUUGGAUUUGAAUGAAGGCGGUAUUGAUAAUGUUAGUAGUAGUAGUAGUGGUAGUGGUAGUGGUAGUAAUGGUAAUGGUAAUAGUAGUAGUAUUAGUAGUAGUAUUAGUAUUAGUAGUAGUAUUAGUAUUAGUAGUGGUAUUAGUAGUAGUAGUAGUAGUAGUAUUGGUAAUAUAUCCAUAUACAACGAUGAUACACCGAACAACACAGUUAUGUCCAAUACAAGUGACACCCAAGGAAGGAACAACACGGACUCAAGUGACAAUAAAAAGAAUAACGUAAACGAUAAAAAGGAUACGUAUUUUGAAUUUUUAUUAUUGUGUGAUAAUAAUAUAGCUGGUAAAAAAUUAUAUUAUUGCAUACAGGAAUAUAUAAAAAAAAUAAACGUAAAUGUUAAAUUAUUGUACAUAUAUAUAACAAAUAAUACGAACAUAAAAAGUGUUGAUUUUUGUAAUGAUUAUGUAAUUGUUAAAGAAAUAAAAAGUGUGACAGACAUAAGUUGUAAUAGUUUAAAAAAUAAAGUAAGUGAAAAAAAAAAGGCAUUAGUAUGUAUUGAUA
rnacentral:lncRNA from 1 species